ACUAUUUUGGCAGAAAAAUGUAAUGAUUUUAGAAAUCAUAAAUAUAUAAUAAUUAUAUAUGUAGUA
rnacentral:tRNA from 1 species